GAUAAAGGAAGCGGCACCAAGGCCCAUCCUGGCAAAGGCAAGGCCCACGCCUCACUUCCUGAGGUGCAGAUGGAACAUGGACAGAGAUGAAGACUUGUCCAGGGGCCAGUCUUAGUGCUGGACCAGGAAGGACGGUCAUGACGACCUGUCUCCACUGCAGCUUCCAGGCCUCGCCUUUGCUUGUUUUCUGGGAGCCUCUGUGUCUACCCACAAUGGCAUGGCUCCUUCAGCCACCAGAAUUCUUGGCUCAAUGUGUGGGCUGCAUAGCUUGUUUCCAUGGUCACUCACUGAACCAGAACAACCACAAAUCAAGCCGGAAGUGCACGAUAACCCACUGAACUCUGCACAGCCUCAAUGGGGCUUUCUCUGAGCAAAUAAACACCACUCCCAACCCGUGCAGCUGGGAAGUGUCCAGUGUGCUUCCAACACAGCUUCAGGCCAGUGACUGCCAUAGUUUGAGAAGGAAAGACAGAAGCAAUCUGGCAGGCUCACAGAGCUACAGGCAAGUCUGUCUGAGCAUUUAUGGGGGUUAAAAAUAUGUACAUUCAGAAUUUUACUGAGAUGGCACUAGGAACUUCUAACACAUAGUUAUGUGGAGGCAGAAAAUGAAACUUGAACUCCCCUCUUGGGAUUUCAGAUGUCUUGUGCUGCUGUAGACUCCAGGCAGGGCGGCAGCCAAGAAGUAUUCAUGGGCUCAUAAAUAUAACAAUAUUAGAACAAUAACAACAACAACAAAAAAAUCCUACUGAUUAGGCCCAGAUUGGCCAUUCCAUAAAUCAAUGCCAAAUGAGAACUUUUAAAUUGUGAAUCAGUGUGUCCCAGAUCUCUAACUUGCUAGGGGAGAUCACAGAAAAAAAUUGGAGUUUUUCCAGGAUCUUUCUUUACACCCCCUUCUCCCCAGUGGCUCUGCUCCUUAGCAUGUUCACCUGGGAAAGUCUCUCUCAUGGUUCCCUGGUUUGGCUAGCGUCUCAGAGUAGGAAACAAGAGGCCGUCCUUCAUCCUGUUGUGUUUCCGCACAGGACCCAUCCACAGUUCUGCCCUACCUCCCUGAUUCGGUCCAUCUGUGGCAGAGAGGUGAUGGCAUGCCUUUGCCAGCUGUGCUCCAAAGACAGGAAGAUCCAGAUGUCCUCCCUGGGUAGGCACAUGGAGUUGGAAGUUUCUACAAAGUCCAGAGCCUCGGAAAGAAAGACAGGCACAGCUGGGCCAUCACAGCUGAACCAAGAAGAAAC
rnacentral:lncRNA from 1 species